rnacentral:siRNA from 1 species
UUGAUAGAACCGCGGGUGGUCCGU